UCCACAGCCACAUCACCCUGCACCCCAAGACCGGUUACUCACUGAAGCUGAGCAGGGCUGAGCCUGGUCAAUACCUGGAUAAGAGACCACAUGGGAAAAGUAUGUUGAUGUUGGAA
rnacentral:rRNA from 1 species